UACGAAGGGGGCUAGCGUUGCUCGGAAUCACUGGGCGUAAAGCGCACGUAGGCGGCUUUUAAGUCAGAGGUGAAAUCCGUGGAGCUCAACUCCAGAACUGCCUUUGAUACUGGAGAGCUUGAGUCCGGGAGAGGUGAGUGGAACUGCGAGUGUAGAGGUGAAAUUCGUAGAUAUUCGCAAGAACACCAGUGGCGAAGGCGGACUCACUGGCCCCGGUACGU
rnacentral:rRNA from 1 species